rnacentral:rRNA from 1 species
GGGGGGCUAUCUGCAGUCGAACGCACUCUCGUUAGAUUGAAGAAGCUUGCUUCUGAUUGAUAACAUUCUGAGUGAGUGGCGGACGGGUGAGUAACACGUGGGUAACCUGCCCUAAAGUGGGGGAUAACAUUUGGAAACAGAUGCUAAUACCGCAUAAAACCUAGCACCGCAUGGUGCAAGGUUGAAAGAUGGUUUCGGCUAUCACUUUAGGAUGGACCCGCGGUGCAUUAGUUAGUUGGUGAGGUAAAGGCUCACCAAGACCGUGAUGCAUAGCCGACCUGAGAGGGUAAUCGGCCACACUGGGACUGAGACACGGCCCAGACUCCUACGGGAGGCAGCAGUAGGGAAUCUUCCACAAUGGACGAAAGUCUGAUGGAGCAACGCCGCGUGAGUGAAGAAGGUUUUCGGAUCGUAAAACUCUGUUGUUGGAGAAGAACGUAUUUGAUAGUAACUGAUCAGGUAGUGACGGUAUCCAACCAGAAAGCCACGGCUAACUACGUGCCAGCAGCCGCGGUAAUACGUAGGUGGCAAGCGUUGUCCGGAUUUAUUGGGCGUAAAGCGAGCGCAGGCGGUUUCUUAAGUCUGAUGUGAAAGCCUUCGGCUCAACCGAAGAAGUGCAUCGGAAACUGGGAAACUUGAGUGCAGAAGAGGACAGUGGAACUCCAUGUGUAGCGGUGAAAUGCGUAGAUAUAUGGAAGAACACCAGUGGCGAAGGCGGCUGUCUGGUCUGUAACUGACGCUGAGGCUCGAAAGCAUGGGUAGCAAACAGGAUUAGAUACCCUGGUAGUCCAUGCCGUAACGAUGAGUGCUAGGUGUUGGAGGGUUUCCGCCCUUCAGUGCCGCAGCUAACGCAUUAAGCACUCCGCCUGGGGAGUACGACCGCAAGGUUGAAACUCAAGGAAUUGACGGGGGGCCCGCACAAGCGGUGGAGCAUGUGGUUUAAUUCGAAGCAACGCGAGAACCUUACCAGGUCUUGACAUCCUUUGACCACUCUAGAGAUAGAGCUUUUCCCUUUCGGGGACAAAGUGACAGUGGGUGCAUGGUUGUCGUCAGCUCGUGUCGUGAGAUGUUGGGUAGUCCCGCACGAGCGCCACCCAUUAUACUAGUGCCAGCAUUAGUUGGGCACCUCUAGUGAAGACUGCUGUGACCAAACGGAAGUAGGUGAGGGACGACUCAAUUCAUCUAGGCCCCCUUAAUA